rnacentral:lncRNA from 10 species
ACCCCAGCCAGCAUGGCCGGCAGGAGCGCACCGCGCUGUCUCCCUCCAGGGAUCCGCACCGCCCUACAAUCCUGCUUUGUGCUGAGAUUGUAGUCCUGCAGGCGUACAACUAACAAGCUGGGUGCAGAUAAGAGACUACAGCUCCCCGCAUCCCAAGCAAAGGUCCCUCCUCUACGGAGCCCCUCCACGCGUCCACUGCGGUUCCGCCGUGCCAAGGGGAGCUUGGCUGUUCACGGGCCUCACCUGCUAGCGAGAAGAUAGCUUGGCCGGGCGGCUGAUCUCACCUUGUAAUUCUGACACUGUGUCUCCCGGGCUUGUCGGCUUCAUGACUUGUGCCCAAAGUUUGAUUUCUCGCAGACCAGGAGGACCCAUUGGACCCCCGGGCUGGCUGCAGGGCCCACACCUGGGUUAGACCUCGCACAGGGACGCUGCUGCCACUGUAAUAAAGCGUGCCUACACGCUUCUGAAACUGGUGUAGGAACAACCUCAGUUCUGUGAAAGGCGGACGCAGCAGGACAGAAUCUCCGUGGACAUCUGUCUGGAGGAGCAAUUUUACUGCGACAUUUUAAAGAAACAAAUUUAAUUGAUUUCCAAGGGUGUCCAUCGCGCUUCCUUCACUGCCUUGAUCAUGUCGGGGUCACCACCUGCGGGGGUUUGUCCUGCAGACCCUGACUCAACGACGGAUGAAUAAUGUACACUGACACAGAUCUUAUGCUUGUCAGUCCUGCUGAGCAUCCAGGCCACUUACAGACUCCAAGAAGAGUCCUGUCAGCCACGGCUCUGACUUGUUGGCCCUCCCGGCAUUUAUUUAGCACACAUUUAAUGACAGAAGUCUCAGGCUGGAAACACUCUUUUUGUAGAACAUACAAAUGGACAUUUCUAAGCACAUUGAGGCCUAUAAUGAAAAAUCAAAUAUCCCACAAUGAAAACUAGAAGGAAGCUAUCUGUGAUAAUGCUUUGUGGUGUAUGGAUUCAUCUCACUGACUGAAACCUGAGUUUUGAUUCACCAGAAUCUAUGCAGGGACAUUUUUGUGCUCAUUGAGGCCUACUGUGAAAAACCAAACAUCAGGGGUGGAGCCAAAAAAGCCAAAUAGGAACAGC